CGAGCGCUCGCAGCGUACACAAAUUCGCUGCCUAGUGGGCGCGUUCUGGUUUGUCGCGUCGCUCGUUUACUGUAUAAUGUAAAUGGAGGAGGAAUUGGAUCUGAAACUCUCACUCCUCUCCCCCGACUCACCGACAAACAACGUGGGACGCUUGAAUUUGUUAUACCACACCACAGAGACUUUUGCACUGAUUUUUAUACAUCGCCGCGUCACAAGUAAAUGUCGCGUUUCGCGGAGCUGGAAAAUAUGUGUAAACUACUGACAGCGGUGAAAAACAUUGCACUGUCAUCCGCGGUUGAGUACUCACAAAUGUCAUGCACUGUUCAAGAGCCUUUGCCUUCUGUGACAUUCAGCGGACUUAAUAACAACCAACAUGAAGCAGACAGAUACAGUCAGAGCGCGUUGCCUAUUCUAAAGGACCUUUAAACUUGUUGAAAUCAUUGUAAACAUGGAAGAGGCAGGCGCUGGGAACGGUACUGGGACGCAGGGCUGUGAACUGGAGCGUUCUGGAGACGGAGGACUGGAUGAGGUGCAGAUGCAUCUCGCCUGCUUACCGGAGCGAUACAUGAGAGCCAAGUUUUCCCUCUCCGCGUACAUAUUUUGUUGGACAGUAGUAAAGUUGUGUCAGCUGUUUGCUAACACUCCUGCCAUGGCAACAAUGGUGACGCCAGAAACACGCCAAGAUUCCAAGAAGUUGUGCCCAUCUACCGACUCACCGCACCUUUGCCUUCCUGUGAUGCAGCAGUUUACCUCACAUGCAGACUGACAAUUAAGAAGCAAAAACAUGCAUGAACAAGUCUGCAUCAACUUCAAAUUCCCCCUCCAGCUCAUCAGGAACUUCAUUUGUCUAGAAGAAUUGCACUUGUUAUUCAGGGCUGUUGGUGCAGGUGUUGUUGGUUUGUGGGUUUGUGAAACAGAUACCCCAUUUUCUCCCUUCUCUUUGUUUCUUUCACAGCAAAGCAGAUUUAUUUAAAUGGAGCAGUGGGAUAAUGCCAGCAAUGCAAACCGAUCUUGAGUCAGAGCUUCCCCUCCACAUGGGAACACGUUGAUAAAGGAUCUGAUUUCACCCUCACCUCCUUUGUUCUGCUUGAAGUCGCUCAGUUCUGGCUGAACU
rnacentral:lncRNA from 1 species